rnacentral:rRNA from 1 species
AGUGAACGCUGGCGGUAGGCCUAACACAUGCAAGUCGAACGGCAGCACAGUAAGAGCUUGCUCUUACGGGUGGCGAGUGGCGGACGGGUGAGGAAUACAUCGGAAUCUACUUUUUCGUGGGGGAUAACGUAGGGAAACUUACGCUAAUACCGCAUACGACCUACGGGUGAAAGCAGGGGAUCUUCGGACCUUGCGCGAUUGAAUGAGCCGAUGUCGGAUUAGCUAGUUGGCGGGGUAAAGGCCCACCAAGGCGACGAUCCGUAGCUGGUCUGAGAGGAUGAUCAGCCACACUGGACCUGAGACACGGUCCAGACUCCUACGGGAGGCAGCAGUGGGGAAUAUUGGCCAAUGGGCGCAAGCCUGAGCCAGCCAUACCGCGUGGGUGAAGAAGGCCUUCGGGUUGUAAAGCCCUUUUGUUGGGAAAGAAAAGCAGCAGGUUAAGACCCCGCUGUUCUGACGGUACCCAAAGAAUAAGCACCGGCGAACUUCGG